rnacentral:rRNA from 1 species
UACGUAGGGUGCAAGCGUUGUCCGGAAUUAUUGGGCGUAAAGAGCUCGUAGGCGGUUUGUCGCGUCUGCUGUGAAAACCCGAGGCUCAACCUCGGGCCUGCAGUGGGUACGGGCAGACUAGAGUGCGGUAGGGGAGAUUGGAAUUCCUGGUGUAGCGGUGGAAUGCGCAGAUAUCAGGAGGAACACCGAUGGCGAAGGCAGUGUUCUGGGCCAGUACUGACGCUGAGGAGCGAAAGCGUGGGGAGCAAACAGG